UACGGGGGGGGCAAGCGUUGUUCGGAUUUACUGGGCGUAAAGCGCACGUAGGCGGAUCGUUAAGUGAGGGGUGAAAUCCCAGGGCUCAACCCUGGAACUGCCUUUCAUACUGGCGAUCUAGAGUCCGGAAGAGGUGAGUGGAACUCCUAGUGUAGCGGUGGAAUGCGCAGAUAUCAGGAGGAACACCAAUAGCGAAGGCAGCUCGCUGGGACGGUACUGACGCUAAGGCGCGAAAGCGUGGGGAGCGAACAGG
rnacentral:rRNA from 1 species